AUAAUGCUUUGAAUAAAUUUCAAUGGUUUUUUAUUUCAGAUAAUUUCCAGCCGAGAUAUACCGCUCACCGCAAAUCAUCUUUUUUUAAAAACGUUCUGGGAAAAGUUCCGUCACUGGCUUGUUUGCGGAUACUUUUACAUAAGAAAAUUACCUAAUGUUGUUGAAUACAUACUUAAUAAUGUUCAAAAGGUUUUGAUAAAUUAGGCUUGAACUCUCGUGAUGUGGUCCAGUUAGCAACGCUCAGGACUACCAGCCAAGAGAAACAGUGUUCGAACCCAGAAGACGUCCAGGAUUUUUCAUUAUUUUAUGUUAUCAAAUAUUGUUUUGAAAUGUGUAAUGCGUUCGCGCUGUACUAACCAGCUCGAAAAUUCGCUCUAGCACUGUUUUUAGUGCGGCCGCCGGCUACCAGGCAGCGCCAUUUUUUUGGAAAAAAGUAGGGGAGGCGCCCUUGGAGAAUGGCCUUAAUAGCUAUUUUAUUUAAUCUUAAGGUUUACUAAAUAAUCCGAAAAUAACAAGAGCGCAAGAGAUACUUUUUAAUUUGCCUUCAAAUGUAUCUUUAAAUUACUGGAAUACGGAAAAAAGGCCAUUCGGCAGCCAAAAUGGAAGGUAGAUUUUUCAAUCAAUGCCUGUAGAAUAAGUGUGAAAAAUUUCAUUAAGAUCCGAUAAGAACUUUGGGCGCUAUCGUAAUGACCAGACUAGUGAUACUCAUAGGGAGUAGAGGUUAUUUUGUGCAUAAUAAAAUACAACUGACGAAACUGGAUUAUUAUGGGAUAUGGAUAAGACAUGUGGAUUGAAAACCGUAUUUUCAACAUUUUUUAAUUCCAUUAAAAUUUUCAAACCUAUCGAAUUAUUGGAAGAAAUGGUCAAAACAUAAAGUUUAAGGUCAUAAAUUAAAACUGAUUUUUUCGAAAAAUCGUGAAAAUUGAAAACAGCCAUAACUUCUAAACUGAUUGACCGAUUUAGCUCAUCUUCGAACUUAACCUUGACAAUCGCCCAUAGAAUAAGUGUGAAAAAUUUGAUUAAGAUCUAAUAAGAAUUGUAGCCGCAAUCGUGUUCUCAAAACUUGGUUAUGUUACAUAUAUAUAUAUAAAUUUUUUAACGAAUGGUAUUUUCGAACUCUACUCAACUAAUGAUGAUAGGUUAUGACAAAAUUCCUUGAAAAAUUGACUAUAAGGACAAAUACGAAACUUAGAUUUUUAAAAAAAUCUACCUAAUGAGGAAUAAAAAAAAUUGUACGUUGUAAAAUAAGUUACAUUUUCAAUUGCAACACUUACGUACUGUCAGGUAAAUAAGUAUUGAGAGGGUUCUGCGGGCGGAGCUAUAAGGCAGUUAAAGUUAGACAUAGAAAAAGGGUCAAAAGGAAGAAAAUCGCGAGUCUACUGUAAUCGGUUUUUUUAACUUUCCACUAAGAAAAUUGCAAAUUUUCAAAAAUUCGGGAAGUUAUUGGUUUCACCCCGAUUUGUGAAAAUCGAAAUUCCAACAGAUGUCGACGUUUUGAGGUUCUAGGAAGCUAUUCUGACUAAAUUCAAGAUGAUAUGAUAGUGUAUGUAUGAAUGUACGUACGUACAUACAUAUGUAAAUAUUCUGUAACUUUUAAACGGAUGAACCGAUUUUAAUCUUCGAGGUGUCAUUCGACGCGGCUUAUUAUUUACUAUAAACACUGAAAAUUUGAGCUUAAUCGGUAGGGUACGUUCGGAGAUAUUUCAAAAAUAAAACUUUUUCAAAAAUGUUUUUUUUGAAUAACUUUUAAUUCGCUCGAUGGAUUGAUUCCAAAAUCUAAUCAGCUCUAAAACUUUGUAAGCCGCGUCGAAUGCCACCUCAGCUAUCAAAAUCGGUUCAUUCGUUCAAGAGAAACCGUUAAUGAAAGAAUUAAAAAAAAAAAUUUUUUUGUAUUUUGGAAAUUUCUCAAAAAUGACUCUAUAAAUCAAUUUUAAAAUCUGAUCAGUUGUAGAACUCAAUAAAACUCAUAAAAAGCUCGAAGAGCUCGAAAAUGUAUCCACAACAAUUUUUCGAGCUCAAGGAACUCGAAAUGGGCGGGAAGUUUUGGGGCUGGCCCACAGGGUCAACCGACAGACUGAUUUUUUUAAAUGUAACGAGCAAACUUGCAUUUGAGGAGUAACUUUCUUUAUUUUUAAUAACUUUUUCGACGCAUUUAAUUCAUCAACUUUUUCCAAAUUAUCAAAAAAAUUUUCAAAUACCACUGAUCGAUCAUCAGCCUCCGGGAAUUUAUAGAAACCCGCGUUUAAAUUCCUUAUUUGCUUUAGUCCGAUAAUCUCUUACUGCUCAAAAUACUCAACUUCUUUCCUUUUUACGUUCUCUAAAUAUUCUGCCUUCUAUUUUAAUUUUUAUUUCUUAAUAAUUUAUUGUAUAAAAUUUAUUGAUGAUAUUAACAGCAUGCAUUUACUGUGUAUUUUAUUUACUUGACUGUUGUAAGCUAUCAUUAGUUUGACUUUUUACCACCAGACCGCGAGACCCAGUUUGUCAGUUCCCAAAACUCUUAGUUAUUAAUCGAUGUUUUUCAUCGUAAUUAUUAAUUCACACAACUAAAUGAUAAAAUUUAAAUAUUUAAUAGUUUAUAGAAGUAGCUAUCGAAAAAAUUAAUAUAUUUUAUAUUUUUAUCAAUACCAAUGAGAAAUUUCAAUUUGUUAU